UGUAACAUCUUAACAUCUUAAGUCCCAACACCAAAGUGAUCCUUACCUAGUGAUUUACUCCCAAAGUGCAGCGCAAAGGAAUAAUGGCAAUGGUGAGGCAAUGAUUGUGGUCUUUGUCAUGACCCGGUGAAGGAUCCAUUUUGAAGAGGAUGAGAUAUCCAAAGUAUGUAGUGUGAUUGGCAGGCCACCUCAGAGGAAGGUGGACAGACACGUGAGCAUGUCCUCCUAGCCAAAACAUUCGAUGUCUGGUGUCUUUAAGGUAAAUAUUUUUGUCAACAGAAUGGCUGAUCCGACUUUCGAAUGGUCUAUUGAAAGGUCCAAUGAAUCUGCGGAUACAAUGUCAAGCUGCAUUCACUGGAAGUUCGGCAACUGGUUCUAAGCCUGUCUCUAUGAAACUUGGUGGUAAAAGUCCAAUUGCAAUUUUUGAAGAUACAGAUCUUGAUAAAGCUGCCGAGUGGAAUAUUUUUGGUUUCUUUUGGACAAAUGGCCAAAUCUAUAGUGCAACAUCUCGUCUUUUAGUGCAUUGAUGUACUGAGAUUCGUCAUGGAAAGUGGUGACAAGGGUUGUGAGGUUGUUUUCUCAACUGCAGAGUAAGAUGUCAUGUGCUUCUUUGAGAGUUCUCUUGAUAUACUGGUGUUGAUGGUAGUUUUUAACUUAGGGAUAAAAUCGUAAAACCUUACAUCUGACGUGACGUCACUGGGACCACUAGCGCAUUUAUUGAAUCAUUCAACACGCCUAUGUAAGAAUUACCAGGGUAC